rnacentral:rRNA from 1 species
GUGUAUCAUCUUACGAGAAUACAAUAUGGUAUAGAUAAUCCAGAAGAAGUCUGCAUAAAAGUCUUUGCCCAUAAGGAUAAUCCUAGAAUUCCGUAUGUCUUCUGGAUUUGGAGAAGUGCCGAUUUUCAAGCUUUGUGCUUGCCACUCCGGAGUCGGUCUUCCUCUUCACCAUUGGCAUACUUGGUGGCAAUCUCCAUCAUCCGACUCAGAGACAUAUCCCUGUUGGGGAACGUAGUAAUUUCAAAAAAUUUCCUACGAACACGCAAGAUCAUGGUGAUGCAUAGCAACGAGAGGGGAGAGUGUUGUCCACGUACCCUCGUAGACCGAAAGCGGAAGCGUUAA